rnacentral:ncRNA from 1 species
AUGAUCCCCGUCGGGAGAGUCCGCACCCCAACAUCUUGUGGUUGGGGCCAGCGGCGCCGAAGGAGCAACCGCCCCUGGAAACUCUCAGGCAAACGGACCGCGGGGGGAUG